rnacentral:tRNA from 2 species
GGUUGUUUAGUUUUAUUUAAAAUACAGGUUUUGUAAACCUGAGAUAGCUAUUUAGAGUUAAUAACCA